AUCUACGGCCAUGUCACCCUGAACAGGCCCGAUCUCAUCUGAUCUUGGAAGCUAAAGCAGGGUUGGGCCUGGUUAGUACUUGGAUGGGAGACCACCUAGGAAGACCAGGUGCUGUAGGUA
rnacentral:rRNA from 1 species